UACGGCGGGUGCAAGCGUUAUCCGGAAUUAUUGGGCGUAAAGAGCUUGUAGGCGGUCUGUCGCGUCUGCUGUGAAAAUCCGGGGCUCAACCCCGGACUUGCAGUGGGUACGGGCAGACUAGAGUGUGGUAGGGGAGACUGGAAUUCCUGGUGUAGCGGUGAAAUGCGCAGAUAUCAGGAGGAACACCGGUGGCGAAGGCGGGUCUCUGGGCCGAUACUGACGCUGAGGAGCGAAAGCGUGGGGAGCGAACAGG
rnacentral:rRNA from 1 species